UAAAUGCCUUGUCAAGUGAGGUUACUUAUAUUAGAGAUACGCCACUGCCCAGAAACGUCCAAAGACGCCAACGGGUCAGCAGAACUUUUCGAAUUAAGGAAUUUUCUAAUGUGGCUGGAGCCAUCCUAUGCUAAUAAGUGCUGAAACUGUAAGCGAAGAGGACAAGUU
rnacentral:sRNA from 1 species